ACCCAAUGAAGAAACACUCACAUGGCUUACUUCCUGUCCUAGCCCAGAGCCUGUAAAGGUGAACCCACUAGGGCUGGCUGGGGAGAAGAGAAAACUUGCUCUAGAAGGAACUGUCUAAAGGAU
rnacentral:snoRNA from 1 species